rnacentral:sRNA from 1 species
UCCCCCUUCUUCCCCUCAUCCUUUGAUUUGGGUGGUUGCCAUUCAUCUCCAUCUCUCGAUCCAUUUCUCCCCCCAAAUUCUUCUCCAAUCAGCUCGAUUCCGUCCUCUUCGAGCAGAUCAGCUCCCGCUGAUCGAAUCGGUGUCGAAUUUUGGUUGUGGUUGCUGUUCUUGGGUUGGAUCUUGGUGGUGAGAAAGAUCGUGAUUUUUGUUGUUGGGAUUUGGGAGGAAUUGUUUGCGCUGGAGGGAGGAGUUGAGCUCGCUGGCCAUGGUUUGCCGAGGCGAGCAGAGAAGAAAUCUCUGAGCUUUAUGAAGAUCGCCACUCACCUGCGCCGCUCCUGCUUCCUCCACUCCUUCUCGGUUGUCUUCCUCUACUGGUUUUAUGUGAUCUCAUAAUUCUGGGGGAAUCAUCUUCUCCGCGUCAAUCCGCCAUUGUUACUAGUAGUAGUAGAGCUCUCUUGUUGUUGUUCUUCUUCUUCGUGUUCUUCUUCGGUUGAUUAAAUAAUCGUAGCAGCAGAAGAAGCAGCUGUUUGUAGACAAGGUGUUUGUGGAAAUGUCGUCGUCGUCGCUGUCGCCGGCGGGGUCGUCGGACGGGGACUCGGCGGGGGUGGUGGUGGCGGCGGACCACCGGAGGGAGAAGCGGCGGCUGUCGAACAGGGAAGUGAGCUCUGAGCUAAGCUGUGGUUGGCAUCAAGAAGUCUUCAUCUUUUUUCUUCUCUUGGCUGCUUUGAGAAUUUCAAGGCUUUAAUCUGCUGCUGCUCUAUGGUCUUCUUCUACUACUCUUCUGAUGAUGAUUUUGUGUCUGAAUAAGUGAUGGUCUUUUGUCUGUGUCCAUGUGGUGUUUUGUAAGGGUUAAUUAUGUUGUUUGUGUUAUGUAAUGUUAUAAACUAUGUCAUUAUAUCAAUUCCUCUUGUGAUCAUCAAUGUAAAAUUGCGUUGGAAAUUC